GACAGAGGGUGCAAACGUUGUUCGGAAUUACUGGGCGUAAAGCGUGUGUAGGCGGCUUUGCAAGUCGGAUGUGAAAUCCCCGGGCUCAACCCGGGAAGUGCACCCGAAACUGCAGGGCUCGAGUACCGGAGAGGUUGGUGGAAUUCUCGGUGUAGAGGUGAAAUUCGUAGAUAUCGAGAGGAACACCGGUGGCGAAGGCGGCCAACUGGACGAGUACUGACGCUGAGACACGAAAAGCGUGGGGAGCAAACAGG
rnacentral:rRNA from 1 species